rnacentral:pre_miRNA from 12 species
GUCCGCACGGGAAAAUCGGCUCAUUUUCUUGUGCGGUCAAUUUAAGAGGACCGCACAGGAAAAUUAGCCGAUUUUCCCGUGCGGAC